rnacentral:rRNA from 1 species
UUGAAUCUUCGGAGGAUUUGUUGGGCGUCGAGCGGCGGACGGGUGAGUAAUGCCUAGGAAAUUGCCUUGAUGUGGGGGAUAACCAUUGGAAACGAUGGCUAAUACCGCAUAAUGCCUACGGGCCAAAGAGGGGGAUCUUCGGACCUCUCGCGUCAAGAUAUGCCUAGGUGGGAUUAGCUAGUUGGUGAGGUAAUGGCUCACCAAGGCGACGAUCCCUAGCUGGUCUGAGAGGAUGAUCAGCCACACUGGAACUGAGACACGGUCCAGACUCCUACGGGAGGCAGCAGUGGGGAAUAUUGCACAAUGGGCGAAAGCCUGAUGCAGCCAUGCCGCGUGUAUGAAGAAGGCCUUCGGGUUGUAAAGUACUUUCAGUUGUGAGGAAGGGGGUAACGUUAAUAGCGUUAUCUCUUGACGUUAGCAACAGAAGAAGCACCGGCUAACUCCGUGCCAGCAGCCGCGGUAAUACGGAGGGUGCGAGCGUUAAUCGGAAUUACUGGGCGUAAAGCGCAUGCAGGUGGUUCAUUAAGUCAGAUGUGAAAGCCCGGGGCUCAACCUCGGAACUGCAUUUGAAACUGGUGAACUAGAGUGCUGUAGAGGGGGGUAGAAUUUCAGGUGUAGCGGUGAAAUGCGUAGAGAUCUGAAGGAAUACCAG